CGCAAGCCUGAUGCAGCGACGCCGCGUGUGGGAUGAAGGCUUUCGGGUUGUAAACCACUUUCGAGCGGGGACGAAGCCUUACGGUGACGGUACCCGCAGAAGAAGGUCCGGCCAACUACGUGCCAGCAGCCGCGGUAAUACGUAGGGACCGAGCGUUGUCCGGAUUUAUUGGGCGUAAAGCGCGCGUAGGCGGCCGAUCGCGUCGGAUGCGAAAGCUCGGAGCUCAACUCUGAGAGGUCAUUCGAUACGGGUCGGCUAGAGGCAGGUAGGGGAGAUCGGAAUUCCUGGUGUAGCGGUGAAAUGCGCAGAUAUCAGGAGGAACACCGGUGGCGAAGGCGGAUCUCUGGGCCUGUUCUGACGCUGAGGCGCGAAAGCUGGGGGAGCAAACAGGAUUAGAUACCCUGGUAGUCCCAGCCGUAAACGUUGGGUGCUAGGUGUGGGGAGGUCUUCAACCCUUUCCGUGCCGACGCUAACGCAUUAAGCACCCCGCCUGGGGAGUACGGCCGCAAGGCUA
rnacentral:rRNA from 1 species